rnacentral:rRNA from 1 species
CCUACGGGGCGCAGCAGUGAGGAAUAUUGGUCAAUGGGCGGAAGCCUAAACCAGCCAAGUCGCGUGAGGGAAUAAGGCCCUACGGGUCGUAAACCUCUUUUGCCGGGGAGCAAGGGCCGGGACGCGUCCCGGCCCGGAGAGUACCCGGAGAAAAAGCAUCGGCUAACUCCGUGCCAGCAGCCGCGGUAAUACGGAGGAUGCGAGCGUUAUCCGGACUCAUUGGGUUUAAAGGGUGCGUAGGCGGGCUUUUAAGUCAGCGGUAAAAAUUCGGGGCUCAACCCCGUCCGGCCGUUGAAACUGGUGGC